rnacentral:lncRNA from 1 species
AGACCGCCACGGUGACUUGCAAGCAACUCACUGUACUUAGGCACUGGACUAUCUGAAUUUCUAAUUCAGUGACGGAAGGCUGCUGGGUGUAGUCAAGUAUUUGACUUGUCGGUGCAUGUGUCAAGAUAGGAUUGAGUACUCCAGUUCAAGAGCUGUGUACAGUCGUGUUUUAAUUUAGCAAAAUCUUGGUCAGGGUAGUCCUAGUGAGGAGUCACAGGACUAUUUGAAUUGAGCACGAUUCGGAUGAUCUAAGCAGGGUUGACAGUUUAACCCUG